GACAGAGGGUGCAAACGUUGUUCGGAAUUACUGGGCGUAAAGCGCGUGUAGGCAGCUCGGAAAGUCGGAUGUGAAAGCCCUGGGCUCAACCUAGGAAGUGCAUUCGAAACUUCCGAGCUGGAGUGCUGGAGAGGAAGGCGGAAUUCUCGGUGUAGAGGUGAAAUUCGUAGAUAUCGAGAGGAACACCGGUGGCGAAGGCGGCCUUCUGGACAGUCACUGACGCUGAGACGCGAAAGCGUGGGGAGCAAACAGG
rnacentral:rRNA from 1 species